rfam:Bombyx mori DNA, contig: Bm_scaf21_contig15054, strain: p50T/Dazao, build 2, whole genome shotgun sequence.
UUAACUGAAAUUUGUAUGGAGUUGACACAGCUGCCCUUCGUUUGCCGCUAGGGGCGCUGUUCCGACUCCAUACAAAUUUGAGUUA